UGAACGCUGGCGGCGUGCUUAACACAUGCAAGUCGAACGGUAACAGCAGAGCUUGCUCUGGCUGACGAGUGGCGCACGGGUGAGUAAUAUAUAGGUAAUGUACCCCUUAGUCUGGGAUAGCCACUGGAAACGGUGAUUAAUACCAGAUACUCCUUUUGACUCUAAUGUUGAAAGGGAAAGUUUUUCGCUAAGGGAUCAGCCUGUACGGUAUCAGCUAGUUGGUGAGGUAAUGGCUCACCAAGGCAAUGACACCUAGCGGGUCUGAGAGGAUGAUCCGCCACACUGGUACUGAGACACGGACCAGACUCCUACGGGAGGCAGCAGUGGGGAAUAUUGCACAAUGGACGAAAGUCUGAUGCAGCAACGCCGCGUGGAGGAUGACACAUUUCGGUGCGUAAACUCCUUUUAUAAGAGAAGAUAAUGACGGUAUCUUAUGAAUAAGCACCGGCUAACUCC
rnacentral:rRNA from 1 species